CAGUCGCCGCGGUAAUACGUAGGUGGCGAGCGUUGUCCGGAAUUAUUGGGCGUAAAGGGAGCGCAGGCGGACAUAUAAGUCCAUCUUAAAAGUGCGGGGCUCAACCCCGUGAGGGGAUGGAAACUGUAUGCCUUGAGUGCAGGAGAGGAAAGCGGAAUUCCCAGUGUAGCGGUGAAAUGCGUAGAUAUUGGGAGGAACACCAGUGGCGAAGGCGGCUUUCUGGACUGUAACUGACGCUGAGGCUCGAAAGCCAGGGGAGCGAACGGGAUUAGAUACCCGUGUAGUCCCUGUCUCUUAUACA
rnacentral:rRNA from 1 species